AAGCUUCCUGAAAAAAAGGAAAAAAAAAAGUAGGCGGGGGGUGGAUUUUAAAGUGUAACAAGUCUUUAAUUCCAUGAGCAAAAUCUGAAUUUCUUCCCCAGACUGUAACUUUCAACCAUUCGAGAUCUGUGGUUAGAGACAGUGUCUAUGAGGUCACAUUGAAUCCUCCUCCCUUAAAACUAUGCCAAGCAUGAAACAGACACUAAAUAAAGUGAACAUUAGAGUAGAAGUGUCACAGUCCAAAACAAUGCCAGGAGCCACACCAUGCAAGAAUCUAAAGGGUAUAAUGAUCUAUAUGUAUAGAUUAAAAAACAAGGGAGUUAGUAGAAUUACUCUUAAAGACCAAGAAGUAAUGGUUUCCUUUGUUACUUAGGGGAAAGAGGGAGGGACCAAAAGUAGGCUAUUGACCAGACUUUGUGAGUACCAAACCCUGUAGGAUACUUACAUUCAUUGUGACAGGGUUGGUAAAUGUUGAGUCUGGGGCUUGCAUUCUAAUUAGCAUUAUGUCUCGUAUUAAUGGAAAUGUAUGCUGCAUCCCUGAGAAUUAUCAGGGCUAAUAAGCAUCCCAUUUCCAAUGUCUUCUUCCCUAUAUGAGGUAGAUUAAGUCUGCAAAGAGAAGCAUUUAGUGGAAAAGGGAUGCACCAUAUAGCGUCCCUAGUAUUAAGAAAAAAUUUCAUUUUCCUUGAAUGGGUUCCUUACUAAGGAGCAGUUUGUUCAUCCCUAAUCACCACAUUCUCUCCAUUUCCAAAACAGACACAGAACCAAUAAAAGGAACUAUUGCUUGUCUCAAAUGCAGUAUAUUUGCUGCUUAUAUGGUCUUUGAUGAAUUCGGCCCUCGGUUUAUCCCUCUUCAGGGGGUUCCAGUCCAGUAAGGAAGGCAGCUUGGGGUCUCCAAAUUGGCCUAGACUCCAUGAGUGCGGCUGCCAAGGCAUUUGAUAGAAUGAAUAUUGCCAAGCUGUUCCUGCAUCUCUUGGGGAGCUGCUAAAAUGAGGCACUGUCUUACAAACAGAGGGAAUAGCUUUAACUUCAAAGAAUUUGUAUUCAUUUUCUGGUAAAGUCAGGAAAAGCAGCUCAUCCACAGCAGUGACUGGAGAGUGAGGAAAAGAGUUGGUGUGUCCCCAGAAACUCUGCCCUUCAAAGAAGGAUUGUUGGCAUUGCAAAAUGAUCCCACAGCGUGCUGGAUUCCUCAUGACUUUGUCAGUUAUGGAAGACAUCUCGGGUUCUUUGUAGCAUAUAGCUUAUGGAAAAUAGAUAUCCAUGAGUUAAUCUAUCAGCAGAUUAAAUACCCUACCAGUAACUUAAAUAUAGUAAUUUUAUAAGUUUCUUUAAUAAAAGAGUAGAUUUUCAGAUGCUGCCACUCAUCAUCUAUAUAUUUUAGUGCUUUUGAGUAUUUCUAUAUAAUUAUAUUUAUUACUGUAAACUAUAAGUGCUGUAAUUUCGUUUGACCUAUGUUGCAGUUGGAUACAUUAUUUGAUCAGAGCUCUCAAUGAAUCAUUUUAUGCACACAUAUUUAGUUAAUUGGUCCCCCCAAACCCCCGCCUGUGUUUAUAUGUAAUAUAGUCUAUAAGGGAAAGGAAAUCAGCCUAUGUGCCCCUGAGUCUGGUAGAAGAGCAAUUAAGUUCUAUCAGAACAAACAGCUGUCAAUAAUGAGGUCUGAAUUAAAAUUACUACCAAAGAAAGAAAUCUAGACAUCUGCAGGAAAUGUGAAAAUAUUUUUAUAACCUAAUAGCUGAGAUCUGGACAGGGGUAUCACUGAGUUUUCCCAGCUGUACCUGCAAUGUAUUUUGAAAUAUUCCCAGACUGAAAGAACACUGGAAUUCAUUGCAUGAAGUAGAUUGCAUUUAAAAAGAUGAUGUUGGCAGCCUUUGAACAGUGUGUAUUUUGAUUUCAUGUAAUCAGCAUGAAAAUUUUCUAUUUCAAACUAUUUUGCUGUGCCCCUUGGCCAUAAAAUGAAGCUUAAAAAUAGUUCUGUUAUCUUUGUUUUGUAUCUUUCCAAUCAGGGUUCUAUUGCUUGGAUAUUUUUGUUUCUGUCUUUGGAAAAAUACUUUUAGGUCUUAUUACAUGAUAUCUGAUUUCCUCGCAUUUGGGGUUGUUUCUUGCAAAGCAAAUUUCACAAGGUGGGCUUCAGGCAUCAAUUACAACAUAAUUCCAUAUAUUUUCAGGUAUCUGAAGAUAGUAAAGUAUUUGGUCUUUAAAAAAAAAGAAAAAACUUUACAUAUUUGAAAGCAGCCCUUUGCAGUCCCUCCUUUCCAUUCAUCUUUACAUUGCUGAGGACAAAAUAUCCAUAUGAAUGAGAGAUUACGAACAUUUAUGUAUAUGUAAAUAUACACAUAUGUACAUUAUUAUGAGUGUUUCUAUGCAUCUUUUUUACUUUUACGUAUAAAAACAUUAGGAAUGUUUUUGUAUCCUCAUUACCCAAAGUGUGGCCCGUGGACCAGCGGUAGCAGCAUCACUUUAGAACUUGCUGGAAAUGCACAGUCUUUGGGGCCACCCCAGACUUACUGAAUAAGAACCUCUGGGACAGAGUCUAGGACUCUGUGCUUUCACAUUCCCUAGCAGCAUGUUCAGACUACUCGAACAUAUAAUACGUUUAUUCUAUGUAUCUAUUGCCAUGCAGGGGUACACUGCACGGCAAUUGAUACAUAGAAGAGGAAUCUCUCAUUUUGCAUCCAUGGAGUUCAAUGAUUGAAUAUGAACUUUCAGCUCUUUGGUGUCACAGUCUUCUGACUCUUUCCCGUUUUCUAGUAUUAUUCUACAUGCGAGGCAAACCCUAUCCUCUCUGCUGUCAUCCUGAAACAUGACCAACAGGUUAUUCUAAAUAUACUUAAUACUCGUUUUUAUUUAUUAGUUAUUAUGUACACAUACCACAGUAACUAAAAGUCAAUCAUAGACCAAAAUAGUCUAAAAGAGAUAGAGCUGACAUAAAGGUAACUAGUUGAUACAUAACCAGGUAGGUUAGUCUGAAGAAAAGAGGUUUAUUUGGCCUAAAAUGGCUUCUUGCAGGCUGUACAGAAGCACGAUGCUUCUGGUGAGGGCCCCAGGAAGUUUGGUGGAAGGCAAAGUGGGAGCCAGCCACAUGGCAAAAGAGGGAGCAAUAGAGAGAUGGGAGAGGUGCCACCUUCUUUUUAAAUAAUCAGGUUUCCUGUAAACUCAAUACCUCUCAUUACCACAGGGAGGACACCAAGCCAUUCAUGAAGGAUCCGCCUCUCAUGCUCCAAACACUUCCCACCAGGCCCAACUCCCAACAUUGACGAUCAUAUUUCAGCAGGAGAUUUCCAGGGUACACAUAUCCAAAUUAUAUCACCAGGUACACAAAGAUCUAUUUUGACAGUGCUUUUAAAACCAUUUUUUUAUUUUUCAGUAGUGGAAUAGAGUGGGCGAGCUAAUGUUUCAUAAAUAAAAGACAAUUACAGGAACAGCAUUUCUCUCUUGGACCAAUAUUCUUAUAGCUUAAAUUGAUAGAAUUGUGAACCUUGGGUUCAUCUGGGGAGCUCCAAGGAAAUCUGUCAUCUGUUCACACUGAAAUCCCACUGGUGGGAGUGAGAAUCUGGGGGAAGGGGAAAUGUGGAAUCAAGUCUUAGCUCCCUAGUGACAGCCACGUGCUCUUGAUGAAAUUAUUAAGCCUGUAAAUACAUGCAACUACUUGAGUCAAACCAACGAACAAAAAAAACCUUAUAUUUUAACAGUACCUGUAUUCAAGGAGAUCAAAGGCCCAGAUGCUCAAAAUUCAUUAGAAAGUAAAGUUCAAUGAUUCGUAGAGAAAGGAAAAAGAAAAUUCUUUGUCUUGAAGCAGAUUAGAAGAAAAUUCAGUUAUGUGGAUAGCAAUUUAUAACUGAAAAUUAGAAACCUUUCUAUAAUUUUUUUUGUAUUGGUGUUAUUUCAUGAAAUUUUCAUUCAUCUUUUAGGAUUACUGUUACCAGUCAUGGUACAUAGUUAUUUCAGUGGAUGAAUGUAUUACAUAACAUUUUUCUGCUUAUUUUGCUAUUAUUUUACUGCAUUUGUUUGAGAAGGUGAAUCCCAUUUUACGUUUUGCACUGAGUGAUUCCAGCACCUUAUCAUUACAAUAGCAAGGUUAUGAAAAAGUGAAAAAAAGAAUAAGGAGUACUUAGCAAUGAUCCUAAACUUCUAAGUUUUGGUGAAAUCUAAAUAAGGUAUUAAAUUUUUCAAUUUACUAUUUAAU